rnacentral:rRNA from 1 species
GACGUAGGGCGCGAGCGUUGUCCGGAUUUAUUGGGCGUAAAGAGCUCGUAGGCGGCUUGUCGCGUCGACUGUGAAAUCCCGCGGCUCAACUGCGGGUCUGCAGUCGAUACGGGCAGGCUAGAGUUCGGUAGGGGAGACUGGAAUUCCUGGUGUAGCGGUGAAAUGCGCAGAUAUCAGGAGGAACACCGGUGGCGAAGGCGG